UACGUAGGGUGCAAGCGUUAAUCGGAAUUACUGGGCGUAAAGCGCACGUAGGCGGAUUGGUCAGUUAGGGGUGAAAUCCCAGGGCUCAACCUUGGAACUGCCUUUAAUACUGCCAAUCUAGAGUUCGAGAGAGGUGAGUGGAAUUCCGAGUGUAGAGGUGAAAUUCGUAGAUAUUCGGAGGAACACCAGUGGCGAAGGCGGCUCACUGGCUCGACACUGACGCUGAGGUGCGAAAGCGUGGGGAGCAAACAGG
rnacentral:rRNA from 1 species